AUUGAACGCUGGCGGCAGGCUUAACACAUGCAAGUCGAGCGGGGAAAGGUAGCUUGCUACCUGACCUAGCGGCGGACGGGUGAGUAAUGCUUAGGAAUCUGCCUAUUAGUGGGGGACAACAUUCCGAAAGGAAUGCUAAUACCGCAUACGCCCUACGGGGGAAAGCAGGGGAUCUUCGGACCUUGCGCUAAUAGAUGAGCCUAAGUCAGUUUAGCUAGUUGGUGGGGUAAAGGCCUACCAAGGCGACGAUCUGUAGCGGGUCUGAGAGGAUGAUCCGCCACACUGGGACUGAGACACGGCCCAGACUCCUACGGGAGGCAGCAGUGGGGAAUAUUGGACAAUGGGCGAAAGCCUGAUCCAGCCAUGCCGCGUGUGUGAAGAAGGCCCUUUGGUUGUAAAGCACUUUAAGCGAGGAGGAGGCUACUUGGAUUAAUACUCUAGGAUAGUGGACGUUACUCGCAGAAUAAGCACCGGCUAACUCUGUGCCAGCCGCCGCGGUAAUAC
rnacentral:rRNA from 1 species